rnacentral:rRNA from 1 species
UACGUAGGGGGCAAGCGUUGCUCGGAAUUACUGGGCGUAAAGGGCGCGUAGGCGGACAGUUUAGUCAGAGGUGAAAGCCCAGGGCUCAACCUUGGAAUAGCCUUUGAUACUGGCUGUCUUGAGUUCGGGAGAGGUGAGUGGAAUGCCGAGUGUAGAGGUGAAAUUCGUAGAUAUUCGGCGGAACACCAGUGGCGAAGGCGACUCACUGGCCCGAUACUGACGCUGAGGCGCGAAAGCGUGGGGAGCAAACAGG